rnacentral:rRNA from 1 species
GGGGAAUAUUGCACAAUGGGGGAAACCCUGAUGCAGCGACGCCGCGUGAGUGAGGAAGUAUUUCGGUAUGUAAAGCUCUAUCAGCAGGGAAGAAGAAAUGACGGUACCUGACUAAGAAGCCCCGGCUAACUACGUGCCAGCAGCCGCGGUAAUACGUAGGGGGCAAGCGUUAUCCGGAUUUACUGGGUGUAAAGGGAGCGCAGGCGGCAUGAUAAGUCUGAUGUGAAAACCCAAGGCUCAACCAUGGGACUGCAUUGGAAACUGUCGUGCUGGAGUGUCGGAGAGGUAAGCGGAAUUCCUAGUGUAGCGGUGAAAUGCGUAGAUAUUAGGAGGAACACCAGUGGCGAAGGCGGCUUACUGGACGAUGACUGACGCUGAGGCUCGAAAGCGUGGGGAGCAAAC